rnacentral:rRNA from 1 species
UACGGAGGGUGCGAGCGUUGUCCGGAAUCACUGGGCGUAAAGGGCGCGUAGGCGGCGCGGGGAGUCAACGGUGAAAGCUCGGCGCUCAACGCCGAGUCGGCCGUCGAUACUCCCGUGCUUGAGCACUGUAGAGGCAGGUGGAAUUCCGGGUGUAGUGGUGAAAUGCGUAGAGAUCCGGAGGAACACCAGUGGCGAAGGCGACACGCUGGGCCGUACCUGACACUGAUGCGCGACAGCAUGGGGAGCAAACAGG